rnacentral:lncRNA from 1 species
AAACCAAACAAUCACCCCAUCACCCCUUGCUCAAUAAUUUUUCAUUUACAAAUGUGCCGUUUCACUUUUUUCGUAAAAAGCUAAACAAUCACCCCAUCACCCCUUUCUCGUUACAAACUGCCUCGGUAAAGCAUGCUCCUUAUGGUGAUUUAGCUCAGCUCGUUAAGGCUAACGAGCUAAGAUAUUAGCUUGGAUUCACACGUGAU